AAGACUAUAUUUUCAGAGGCCAUUUCUAUAGUUCAUUCCUAGAGAAGUUUCUCUGAAUGUGUAGAGCACUGGAAACCACAAGGAGGAGACUUAACGUUCUCUUGAUCCUGAAGCUGGCUGUUGGUUUCUCUUUGUUGCAGCUGCCACUUGCCGUUGAUGAUUGUUCUCUUCCUCUGUGAGGU
rnacentral:snoRNA from 1 species